GGAAGCUCAGUGGCAGAGCAUCUGCUUUGCAUGCUGAAGGUCUUGGGUGCAAAUCCUGGCAUCUCCA